rnacentral:ncRNA from 1 species
UACUGUCGGAGAUUAAUAGGGAAACAGGUGCAAGACCUGUGCGAACUCGUCACUGUAAGUAUGGAAUCCGUUCGUUGAAAUAUGUCACUGGGAUAUUUUCCGGGAAGGCUGAUGAACGGGUAGCGAUGUACAAGCCAGGAGACCUGCCUUAUGUCU